UGUAUUAUUUAUUUCUCGUUACUCUUCUUAUUUAAUUCCUUAAUUAGUAUUAUGGCUAAGAUAAUUAUUAUUAGUAGUAGAUUAUUACUUAUUAUUGCAACAGAAGUUUGUCCUUCAAAUUCAACAUAUGUGGUGAAGCGUCCAAUUCCUAAAGUGUUGGCAACCAUCAAUGAAGAAGAGUCUUAUGCUUGAACAAUGGUUUGGCCAAAUCAUUGAAACAAAAUACAACAUUACAUGCACAUCUCUUUAUUAAUUUUCAUGUAAAUUAAAUCUAUCAAGUCACUUCCAAAAUAGUAUAUAAUAUGGUAUGGGUCAGGGGUUUAUCAUGCAUGUGGUAUCAUGUACUGUCUCUUCUUCUUUAAACAAUAAUAUGAUAACGAAUUAAUGCCUACCAUGUAAUUUUAUCAAUGUUUGAAAUUGACAACUUUAUUAUUCAUUGUAUGCCCAUUAGGCCAUUAUAAGUUUUUCUAAUAUACUACUCUUGUUGGUCUUGAUAGGCUCACAAUGUCACAAUUCUUCACUUUGUAAUUUUUUUUCAUUUUUUAUGCUUCCUGUAUAAUUUAUUUUUUUUAAAAAAGAAAAACUUUUUUAUUGAUAGAAUAGAUGCGUCCGUUAGUAAUCAUUGCACCUAGUCCCUCAACAGAACAAUAGUGCAGAAAAUAAAUAGCUCAAAGUAAAUCAGACACGAAAUUUUUACAUGAAAACCUCCUUGCUCAAGGUAGGUGAAAACCACAAUCUGUACUCACAUGAUUUAUAACCAGACUCCAUUUCACUCAAAAUGGAGCAAAGCUUCAGAUUACAAACUCUCAUAACCUAGGAAUUAAAACUCUUUAAUCCCUUCUCUCUUAUUAUAGCAACUCUACGGUGAAAGAACUAACCAAUAACUCUAUUGCACACUAAACCAACUAACUCUACUUGAUCUAAACGUCAACUAACCAACAAGGCUAACUCUAACCACCAACUACAUAUCUCAAAGAUAGGAAUUUAAACAAGCAGCAGCUUUGUUGCACCGUACAUCAACUAACUCUAGUUGAAACUCCUAGGCAACUCUACC
rnacentral:lncRNA from 1 species